GCGGAGACAAAGAAAUGCAAGUCGAACGAAGUAGCAAUACUUAGUGGCAGACGGGUGAGUAACAUGUAGGUAUCUGCCCUUUGGCCUGGAAUAACACGAGGAAACUUGUGCUAAUACCGGAUAAGUCUUUACGGAGAAAGCUUUAUGCACCAUUGGAUGAGCCUGCACUUGAUUAGUUUGUUGGUGGGGUAAUGGCCUACCAAGACUGUGAUCAAUAGCUGAUUUGAGAGGAUGAUCAGCCACAUUGGGACUGAGACACGGCCCAAACUCCUACGGGAGGCAGCAGUGGGGAAUCUUGCACAAUGGAGGAAACUCUGAUGCAGCGAUGCCGCGUGAGUGAAGAAGGCCCUUGGGUUGUAAAGCUCUUUCGUCGGGGAAGAAAAUGACUGUACCCGAAUAAGAAGGUCCGGCUAACUUCGUGCCAGCAGCCGCGGUAAUACGAAGGGACCUAGCGUAGUUCGGAAUUACUGGGCUUAAAGAGUUCGUAGGUGGUUGAAAAAGUUAGUGGUGAAAUCCCAGAGCUUAACUCUGGAACUGCCAUUAAAACUUUUCAGCUAGAGUAUGAUAGAGGAAAGCAGAAUUUCAAGUGUAGAGGUGAAAUUCGUAGAUAUUAGAAAGAAUACCAAUUGCGAAGGCAGCUUUCUGGAUCAUUACUGACACUGAGGAACGAAAGCAUGGGUAGCGAAGAGGAUUAGAUACCCUCGUAGUCCAUGCCCGUAAACGAUGUGU
rnacentral:rRNA from 1 species